CUACGUGCCAGCAGCCGCGGUAAUACGUAGGGUGCGAGCGUUAAUCGGAAUUACUGGGCGUAAAGCGAGCGCAGACGGUUACUUAAGCAGGAUGUGAAAUCCCCGGGCUUAACCUGGGAACUGCGUUCUGAACUGGGUGACUAGAGUGUGUCAGAGGGAGGUAGAAUUCCACGUGUAGCAGUGAAAUGCGUAGAGAUGUGGAGGAAUACCGAUGGCGAAGGCAGCCUCCUGGGAUAACACUGACGUUCAUGCCCGAAAGCGUGGGUAGCAAACAGGAUUAGAUACCCUGGUAGUCCACGCCCUAAACGAUGUCGAUUAGCUGUUGGGCAGCAUGACUGCUUAGUAGCGAAGCUAACGCGUGAAAUCGACCGCCUGGGGAGUACGGUCGCAAGAUUAAAACUCAAAGGAAUUGACGGGGACCCGCACAAGCGGUGGAUGAUGUGGAUUAAUUCGAUGCAACGCGAAGAACCUUACCUGGUCUUGACAU
rnacentral:rRNA from 1 species